rnacentral:rRNA from 1 species
GACGAACGCUGGCGGCGUGCUUAACACAUGCAAGUCGAACGAAGAGCGAUGGAAGCUUGCUUCUCUCAAUCUUAGUGGCGAACGGGUGAGUAACGCGUAAUCAACCUGCCCUUCAGAGGGGGACAACAGUUGGAAACGACUGCUAAUACCGCAUACGAUCUAAUCUCGGCAUCGAGGAUAGAUGAAAGGGGGCCUCUACAUGUAAGCUAUCACUGAAGGAGGGGAUUGCGUCUGAUUAGCUAGUUGGAGGGGUAACGGCCCACCAAGGCGAUGAUCAGUAGCCGGUCUGAGAGGAUGAACGGCCACAUUGGGACUGAGACACGGCCCAGACUCCUACGGGAGGCAGCAGUGGGGAAUCUUCCGCAAUGGACGAAAGUCUGACGGAGCAACGCCGCGUGAGUGAUGACGGCCUUCGGGUUGUAAAGCUCUGUAAUCGGGACGAAAGGCCUUCUUGCGAAUAGGGAGAAGGAUUGACGGUACCGGAAUAGAAAGCCACGGCUAACUACGUG